rnacentral:rRNA from 1 species
UACGAGGGGGGCGAGCGUUGUUCGGAAUUAUUGGGCGUAAAGGGUUCGUAGGCGGUUUGGUAAGUCCUAUGUGAAAUCUACAGGCUCAACUUGUAGUCUGCAUGAGAAACUGCCGGGCUUGAGUAUGGGAGAGGUGAGUGGAAUUCCUGGUGUAGCGGUGAAAUGCGUAGAUAUCGGAAGGAACACCAGUGGCGAAAGCGGCUUCCUGGUCCAGCACCGACGUUCAGGCACGAAAGCGUGGGGAGCAAACAGG